rnacentral:rRNA from 1 species
UACGUAGGUGACCAGCGUUGUCCGGAUUUACUGGGCGUAAAGAGCGCGCAGGCGGUCGUUCAAGUCGAGUGUGAAAGCCCCCGGCUCAACUGGGGAGGGUCACUUGAUACUGAUCGACUCGAAGGCAGGAGAGGGAAGCGGAAUUCCCGGUGUAGUGGUGAAAUGCGUAGAUAUCGGGAAGAACACCGGUGGCGAAGGCGGCGCUCUGGACCGAGACUGACGCUGAGGCGCGAAAGCGUGGGGAGCAAACAGG